CGGGCUGUAGUGUCAACGGCCAGCACGCUUGCUUUGGGAGCAAGUAGACUGGGUUCGAAUCCCAGCAGCCCGACAA
rnacentral:tRNA from 1 species